AUGUAUGCAUUGGACCCUAAAGACUUGAAGCCAUUGAAUAGCUGCUGCGAUGCUCAGAUUUCUGUUUUUGGUUCUAAGCUUCAGAAGAAGAUGCGAGACUCUAAUAUUUUUGUUGUGGGAUCUGGUGCUCUUGGAUGUGAAUUCUUGAAGAACUUUGCUUUAAUGGGGCUUUCUUGUGGCCGUAAAGGGGAGCUAACUAUAAUAGAUGAUUAUGUCAUUGAAAAAAGCAACUUGAGCCGGCAAUUCCUGUUUCGUGAUUGGAACAUUGGACAGGCAAAAUCUACAGUAUCCGCUACAGCUGCUAGUGCUAUCAACUCCAGCCUCCAUAUUGAUGCUCUGCAGAAUCGUGCCUGUCCAGAGACUGAACUUGUUCUCAAUGAUGCAUUCUUGGAGGGCCUUGAUGCUGUGAUCAAUGCACUUGAUAAUGUCAAUGCUAGGAUCUACGUGGACAUGGGAUGCCUGUACUUCCAGAAACCAUUCUUGGAAUCUGGAACGCUGGGUCCCAAAUGUAAUACACAGAUGGUGAUUCCUCACCUUACUGAAAACUAUGGAGCUUCACGAGAUCCUCCUGAGAAACAGGCACCAAUGUGCACAGUUCAUUAUUUUCCGCACAAUAUUGACCAUUGUCUAACAUGGGCUCGCUCAAAGUUUGAGGGUCUGCUAGAGAAAACUCCAAAUGAAGUGAACUCAUUUAUAUCUAAUCCUGCUGAAUAUGCUGCUGCUAUGAGAAAGGCAGGUGAUGCUCAAGCCAGGUAA
rnacentral:rRNA from 1 species